rnacentral:rRNA from 1 species
CCUACGGGAGGCAGCAGUAAGGAAUAUUGGUCAAUGGACGAAAGUCUGAACCAGCCAUGCCGCGUGAAGGGAUGAAGGGCCCUCUGGGUUGUAAACUUCUUUUAUCUGGGACGUAAAAAAGCUCAUUCUUGAGCACUUGACGGUACCAGAGGAAUAAGCACCGGCUAACUCCGUGCCAGCAGCCGCGGUAAUACGGAGGGUGCAAGCGUUAUCCGGAUUCACUGGGUUUAAAGGGUGCGUAGGUGGGUCUGUAAGUCAGUGGUGAAAUCUCCGGGCUUAACUCGGAAACUGCCAUUGAUACUAUAGGUCUUGAAUCAUCUGGAGGUAAGCGGAAUAUGUCAUGUAGCGGUGAAAUGCUUAGAUAUGACAUAGAACACCAAUUGCGAAGGCAGCUUACUACGGGUGUAUUGACACUGAGGCACGAAAGCGUGGGGAUCGAAACAGGAUUAGGAUACCCUGGUAGUCCACGCCCUAAACCGAUGGAUACUCGACAUCAGCGAUACACUGUUGGUGUCUGAGCGAAAGCAUUAGAUCCCACCUGGAGUACGACCGCAAGGUUGAAACUCAAAUGAAUUGACCGGNNGAGAGNGCGAGCGACGACGAGGGAGAGG